GCCGCCGGGCUGUCCACCCGACCGCGGGCCCCGGCGAGCGGACCCCGCGCUCGCGGCCAGUUUGCCUCCCCCAAAAUGAGAAGGUUGGGGAGGCACUUCAAGGGCCGGAAGCCUGAAUCUGCCUGUGCCCCUGGCGGUAGGACGAGCACCUGGCCGGCGGGCCUGUCACCGGGGCUACUUCCGGAGCUACUCUCCCCGAGAUGGCAGAAACUAGCACCGGGUCCCACCGCGCUCACCUCACAGGCUCCCUCUUGGCGCCCAAAACCAAGCAGAAGCCACAAUCUAUAGAGAUGCAGUAACCUGUGACAUGAGAGAGGUGAACUUCCGUGAAGAAUUUUGCAUCUAACGGAUGGCAUGGAUCUGAGAACUGUCCUACCAAAGGGUCAUCACAGUUCGCUCUGAGGCUUUGACACGUCCUCUGUCUCUCGAGGCCGCGGGAAUUGCUAACAUCCAGUCCGGCUUCCAAACACUGAACUUCCAGGAUGAACUUGGUCUUGUUUGUGAACCGAGGGUGGCAAAUUAACACAACAUAAUGUUAUUCAGCAGAGUUGCAGGAGUUAAAACAAGCAGAACUGGCAAAGAUUCAGAUGAAGAAGCGUUCCUGUGUCGCUGGUAGGUGUGUGAGUUGCUCUGGCUUGUUUUGGCAAGCAGUCUGGCAAUGCUCAUGCCUUGAUUAACUCAUCUGUCCCCAGCAGUGAAGAAGCAAGGCUCCAAAGGAGGCAGAGGCAGAAAGCCAUUUUCUCUCCCCUCCUUUACGGUUUCUUCCUUGUCCCCAGCUAAAGUC